rnacentral:tRNA from 1 species
CGCGGAGUGGAGCAGUUGGUAGCUCGUCGGGCUCAUAACCCGGAGGCCGCAGGUUCGAGUCCUGUCUCCGCAACCA